UGCUCUUAUUGUCCACGCUGGAGUGUAAUGGCGCGAUCUCCGCUCACUGCAACCUCUGCCUCCUGGGUUCAAGCGAUUCUCCUUCCUCAGCCUCCUGAGUAGCUGGGAUUACAGGCGUCCACCACCAUGCCCGGCUAAUUUUUUGUGAUUUUAGUAGAGAUGGGGUUUCACCAUGUUGGUCAGGCUGGUCUCGAACUCCUGACCUCAGGUGAUCCACCUGCCUUGGCCUCGCAAAGUGCUGGGAUUACAGGCGUGAGCCACUGUGCCAGGUCAUCACAGUUCAUUUCAUUCACACCGCCUGCAGCUCAGUGAGCCUGCGAGGAGCAUAUUACAACUGUUUUAUGCUCCCACCGUUUGUCAGGUGCCAGGUUCUCCUCCCGUGACCAAGAAGAAUGAGGGGCAUAAUUCAAUGCAUAACAUGAUUCCUCUCCCUGCUGCUUCAGAACUACCACUCUGGCCUGCCACAGCCCC
rnacentral:lncRNA from 1 species